rnacentral:miRNA from 3 species
AGAGUCUUGUGAUGUCUUGC